CCUACGGGGGGCAGCAGUGGGGGAUAUUGCACAAUGGGGGGAACCCUGAUGCAGCGACGCCGCGUGGGUGAAGGAGCGUUUCGGCGCGUAAAGCCCUAUCGGCAGGGAAGAAGAUGACGGUACCUGACCAAGAAGCCCCGGCUAACUACGUGCCAGCAGCCGCGGUAAUACGUAGGGGGCAAGCGUUAUCCGGAUUUACUGGGUGUAAAGGGGGCGCAGACGGCAGUGCAAGUCUGUAGUGAAAGGCGGGGGCUCAACCCCCGGACUGCUCUGGAAACUGUACGGCUGGAGUGCAGGAGAGGUAAGUGGAAUUCCGAGUGUAGCGGUGAAAUGCGUAGAUAUUAGGAGGAACACCAGUUGCGAAGGCGGCUUACUGGACUGUAACUGACGUUGAGGCUCGAAAGCGUGGGGAGCAAACAGGAUUAGAUACCCCAGUAGUC
rnacentral:rRNA from 1 species